UGAGGAAUAUUGGUCAAUGGGCGCAAGCCCGAACCAGCCAUCCCGCGUGCAGGAAGACGGCGCUAUGCGUUGUAAACUGCUUUUCCAGGGGGAGAAACUUGCGCACGUGUUGCGCAAUUGACGGUACCCUGGGAAUAAGCAUCGGCUAACUCCGUGCCAGCAGCCGCGGUAAUACGGAGGAUGCGAGCGUUAUCCGGAUUCAUUGGGUUUAAAGGGUGCGUAGGCGGACUAUUAAGUCAGUGGUGAAAUCCUGCAGCUUAACUGCAGAACUGCCAUUGAUACUGAUGGCCUUGAGUUUGGUUAAGGUAGGCGGAAUGUGUAAUGUAGCGGUGAAAUGCUUAGAUAUUACACAGAACACCAAUUGCGUAGGCAGCUUACUGAGCCGACACUGACGCUGAGGCACGAAAGCGUGGGGAUCGAACAG
rnacentral:rRNA from 1 species